rnacentral:rRNA from 1 species
UACGUAGGGCGCAAGCGUUAUCCGGAAUUAUUGGGCGUAAAGAGCUCGUAGGCGGUUUGUCGCGUCUGCCGUGAAAGUCCGGGGCUCAACUCCGGAUCUGCGGUGGGUACGGGCAGACUAGAGUGAUGUAGGGGAGACUGGAAUUCCUGGUGUAGCGGUGAAAUGCGCAGAUAUCAGGAGGAACACCCGUGGCGAAGGCGGCUCUCUAUCUCGAUUCUGACGCUGAUGCGCGAAAGCUAGGGGAGCAAACGGG